UUUCUAAUUCUUAUGCAAAGUGAUGGGAAUUUGGUCCAAUACCCUGUUGGAGCAGUACUGGAACGUGGUGCUGCUUAUUGGGCUACUAAUACAUUUAAUGCUGGAUAUGGUGUGAGCUUGAAUCUUGAUGGUAAUGGUCACCUAUAUUUGUUAAACGAUACCGGGUUCAACAUCAAAAGUAUUAAUAAGAACUACGUUAAUGCCUCGGGUAAGUCCGUGUAUCGUGCAACAAUUGAUACGGAUGGUAUAUUUCGAUUGUACUCACAUAGUUCUAACCGAUUUGAUGAUUGGUACACCGAAUGGUCAUCCUCUAAUUAUAGAUGUGAUCCUUUAGGUUUGUGCGGUGAGAAUAGUUAUUGUGUUAUGACGGAUGGGGAACCCGUUUGUCAAUGUCCUCCUCAUUUCAAUUAUAUCAACGAGAAGCUAAAGGAAUUGGGUUGCCGAAAGAACUAUAGUUUAGUUGCUUGUGACACAAGAAAUGGCCGACUUUUUGAUUUUCUUGAGGUGAACGAUGUGUCUUGGAAAGAUGAUGCGUAUUCGAGUCUCUCGUCGAUGACAAAGAACAGUUGUAGAGCCGAGUGUUAUCGAGAUUGUCGUUGCGAAGCUGUUGUCUUCGAGAACGAGGUGUGUAAAAUGAUGAAGUUGCCGUUACGGUUUGGGAGAAGAGUAUUAAGUGGUCAAGUUACUGCAUUUUUGAUUGGUGGAGAACUUGCUGGUGUUGGGACAAGGAAAAAGAAAAGGAAGCUAAGAUUGGAUAUGUUAAUCAUUAGUAUUGCCAUGGCAUGCUUGACGCUCAGGUUUCUAGUUGUAGCAACGAUCGGCGUUCGAAAGUAUCGUGCUUAUGUUCGAAAAUACAAGCGUGUUUUGCGUUUGGUAAACAAUCGAGUUGCUGAAGAUGUUGCCUUGAAAUCAUUUUCCUUUGAGGAGCUUAAAGAUGCAACCAACAAUUUUGUGGACGUGAUCGGUAAAGGAGCUUACGGGACGGUUUUCAAAGGGGUGCUAUUCGAUGGCGAGAGAACAGUAGCCAUCAAGAGACUGGAAAAAGUGGUGGCCGAAGGUGAAAGAGAUUUCCUGAAUGAAAUGAAAGCCAUCGGGAAAAUACAUCACAAGAACCUCGUUCGAUUGCUCGGUUAUUGCUACGACGGAACUAAUAGGCUUCUGGUUUACGAGUACAUGAAAAACGGUUCUCUUGCGGAUUUUCUUUUCAAAUCGAACUUAAAGGUAAAUUGGGAAGGAAGAGUCGAAAUAGUAUUGAGUAUAGCGAGAGGAAUUUGUUACUUGCAUGAAGAAUGCGAGACUCAGAUUAUCCAUUGCGAUAUCAAACCCGAAAACAUCCUAAUGGACGAUAAAGGGUACGCGAAAAUUGCAGAUUUCGGAUUAGCCAAGCUAUUGAUGCCUAACCAAACUAGGACAUACACCGAAAUCCGAGGGACGAGGGGAUACGUUGCCCCAGAGUGGCAUCGAAACUUACCAAUAACUGUGAAAGCCGAUGUUUAUAGUUUCGGAAUAAUGUUGUUCGAGAUCAUUUGUUGUAGAAGGAGUGUGGAAGCGGAUGUUCCGGAAAACGAACAAGUUCUUGCAUAUUGGGUAAUUGAUUGUUUCAAGGCUAAUGAAGUGGAGAAGCUGGUGCAAAAUGAUGAAUUAGUGGAGAAGAGUAAAUUGGAGAAGAUGGUUAAGGUCGGAUUAUGGUGCACCCAAGAUGAAGCAUCAUCUCGACCGUCGAUGAAAAGAGUUAUCUUGAUGCUAGAAGGGACGGUUAAUAUACCUGAUCCUCCACCGCUUAGCUCCUUCGUUAGUUCUCCUUAGAUCAUGUUUGAGUCACGAGAUAAGACUUUAACUUUGCCAAACGUAAAAAAUAUAGUGUUCAUACUUAUGUAGUUGUGAAUUACACUAAUGAAUCACGAUAGAUAUAUACAUAUUUAUAUAUGUAUAUAUUAUCAGCCUGAUGAAAUUUACACUGUAAUCACGAAAUUUUUCUAUAAUAUUAGAACAUAGGAAGAUGUUGAAUCUUAAAUUUAUUAAAUACUUAUUAAGAGGUAAGAAUAUAUCAUUAGUUGAUUCAAUUUUUAUAUAUCAAGAAUCUAAUGAACGAAUUAACCAAACUGAGUUGGAAGGAUAUUUUUUUUUUGAAAAUCUAUUUAUAAAAUUAAUUAAUUAAUUAAGUUGGGUUGGGUUCUAUUGGGCAGGGUAGGCUUGUUUUAUAUUUGCGCAAUUUAAUUGGGUUAGGUUAUUUACCGAAAUUAAUUAAUUGGGUUAUUUUAUAUUUCAAUAUUUUUUAUAAUUAAUUAAUUAAUUAAUUAAUUAUGUGGUUGGAUUUAUUUUAUAUUUGGGUUGGCUCACAUAUAUAUAGAUUUAUUUAUGGGUCGGAUCGAUUCAAAAAGUGAGAGGGUUUGAAAAAAAUAUAAGUUUAAAAAAUGGGCUUUAGCAAAAAUAUAAGUCCUAUUUAGAAAACGAGUCGAGUCUUGGACAAAAUUUUUUAAUCCAUUUGGAAAAUGGGUUGCUGUUUUUCUACUGUUUCGCUAUUAUGUUGUUACUAUUUUAUUGUUAUUGUUUAAAUAUUGUAUAACUUUUAUUUAUUGUUAAUUUUGUUAUUAUUGUAGAGACAUUUGCUUGUUAAGUUGCAUCUAUCUUAAUAUUAUUUAAGUAUAAAUAAUUUUAUUUAAUUUAUUUUUAAUUUGUUAAAAAAUUUAUUUUAAUAUUUUUAAUAUUUUUAUGUAUUAUAUUUUUUAAUUUUUUAUUUAAAAACAAUAUAAAAUUUUUAAUAUAGGUGGACAAAGCUAAACCCAUAAACACUCUAUAUAUAUAAUAAUAUCGAUGUAAAUUGAACUUAUCACUAUCUAUAAGAACCGAAGACUUGAAAUCAAGGCAGUAGGUUAAUUGACAACAAAUUAGUACCGUUGGUUUUCCGUUUACUUAGAACAGUCAACCAAAGAAAAAGACGGUAGAAAAGUCAGUCAACGGUGGAAAAGUCAGUCAACCAAAGAAAAAGACGGUAGAAAAGUCCUUAAUCGUGAAUCUCAAGGGGUGUAUUUUGUUGAAUCUUUUAUAUGCUUUUUUCUUCCUUACACAAAGAUUUUUAACGACUGAAGGACUUUGAAAGGUCAAAUUCUAUUAUUAGUCCUUGUAUUAUAUGUAAAUUAUGGAUUUAAUCCUUACUUUAUUUUUUGACCAAUUUUAGUUCUUAUAUUUUUUCGUAUUCUAAAAUUUCAGUCCUAACUCAAAUUGCACAUGUUAAAUCUAUUAGGUAAAAUUAUGCUAUUAGUCCUAUUUUAUGCAUAAACGGUGAAUUGAAAUUCAAUCAUGAUUAAAAACAACAGUUAUCAAAACUAAUAACUAAUAAUAUUUGGUUUUUUUGUGUGUGUGAAUAUUAUGUGAAAAUAAUAAGUAGGCAUAUCGUUACACAUAUAAUAAUAUUUUAAAAACAGUAAAAUAUAACGAUUAUUGUUUGGCCAAGACUAGAAUUUUAAAUUUUGAAAAGUGAAGGUAAAAGAAAAGGGUUAAAUAUCAAAUUUAUACACGAACUUUGAUCCAAUUACAUCAAUGAACAUUGAUUUAGUACAAUUAUAUACAUGAAACUUGAAUUGUGGUUUAUAUAUAUAUUUAUAAAACUUUUAUUUUGAUUCAAUUGUAUACAUUAAAAAAAUUGAAUACAUACAAUUAUUUUUAUAUUGGAUUAAUAUAAUUAUUUGUGUAUGUAAUAUAUCAACAUAAAAUGAUGCUAGUUCAAUAAUGUGGUUUGUGAAAAUUUAAUCAAAUUAAAAUUUCAUGUAUAAAAUCGCAUAAAAGUAAUGUUCAUGUAUCAAAUUGUACAUUGCAUCAAAAUUCAUGUAUGAUUUCGAUAAUUAUCCAUCUAAAAAAAUAAAGUUCAAGCACAAGGACUAAAUCGAUAAUUUAGACUAGUAAUUUCUAACUUACAUUUCACGUCCUAAUGCACUAUUAUCACAUUGGAUCACAUCUACUUUUUUUCCUCACAAGCACCGCAAAAACAAGAAAACACACAAGCUCGAUCUUCCACUUUAAUGGCGUUUCUUGUUCUUCUUCUUCUUUUAAAUUUUGUAUUUAAUGCAAUAAAUGCUCAAUCAACAAGCACUAUUAUCAAACCAGGUUCUUUUCUUUCACCCAUUAAUAAUUCAUAUUUGCUAUCUCAUUCCGGCCAGUUCGCUUUCGGUUUCUACCGAUACAAAAACGGCUACUCCGUAGGCAUAUGGUUCGAAAACAUCCGGCAGAAAACAAUUGUAUGGACGGCUAACCGAGAUGCCUCGCCGUUCCCUAGCGAUGUCACAUUGGUUUUAACCACCGAAGGUACCCUUAUUGUUCGACCAAAGCAAGGUCAAGACGUACUCAUUGCCGAUACUAGUAGUGAUAACGUGUCACGGUUAGCAACUUCGGCCUCGAUGCUCGAUUCGGGUAACUUUGUUUUGUUGAAUUCGAGUGGUGGGAUCGUAUGGAAGAGUUUUGAUUUCCCGACCGAUACCAUUUUACCAGGACAACGUCUAGCGGUGACCGGUAAGCUCGUUUCGAGUGUUGCCGAGUCGGAUCAUGGUAGCGGAAAAUUUCUAAUUCUUAUGCGAAGUGAUGGGAAUUUGGUCCAAUACCCUGUUGGAGCAGUACUGGAACGUGGUGCUGCUUAUUGGGCUACUAAUACAUUUAAUGCUGGAUAUGGUGUGAGCUUGAAUCUUGAUGGUAAUGGUCACCUAUAUUUGUUAAAUGAUACCGGGUUCAACAUCAAAAGUAUUAAUACGAACUACGUUAAUGCCUCGGGUAAGUCCAUGUAUCGUGCAACAAUUGAUACGGAUGGUAUAUUUCGAUUGUACUCACAUAGUUCUAACCGAUUUGAUGACUG
rnacentral:lncRNA from 1 species